rnacentral:misc_RNA from 1 species
GAUGAAGAACGCAGCGAAAUGCGAUAAGUAAUGCGAAUUGCAGAAUUCAGUGAAUCAUCGAAUCUUUGAACGCACAUUGCGCCCGCCAGUAUUCUGGCGGGCAUGCCUGUCUGAGCGUCGUUUCGACCCUCGCGCCCGGCUUCUGUCGGGGGCGGUGUUGGGGAUCGGCCACACCCUUCAGUGGGAGGCCGGCCCCUAAAUUCAGUGGCGACCACGCUGUAGCCUCCCCUGCGUAGUACUAAAACCACCUCGCAGGCGGAGAGCGGUGCGGCCCGCCGUAAAACCCCCCAACUUUUACAAGGUCGACCUCAGAUCAGGUAGGAAUACCCGCUGAACUUAAGCAUAUCAUAAGCGGAGGA